rnacentral:lncRNA from 1 species
AUGGAAAGCCUGAUCAAAACCAGACAGAUUGAGGGAGACAACCAGAGCCGCGACAGCCGGCAGCGCGGGGCGGAGGAGCCAGCACCGGCUGGGUCGGGGCCGUGCCACUCGGGGACCUCAGGGUACCCACGGCGCAGGGCGAGCGCUGCUCCCACCUUGCCUGCUCUGCAAAACCAUCCUGAGACAGAGCGCACUGGGGAGCUCAGCCUCCGUGAGCCCGCUGCGUAUCACCAAGGACAUGGCAACAACGGCUCUCCAAUCGAGCAUGAAUGGCAGGUCUGCGGGCAGCGCUGUCCUGGAAAUGUGAUAUUAUGGAAACGAGAGGUGACCUGCUUACAGACAAAACAAUGUGACGGGAAGAGUCCUGCCUCCCAAAUGGGACAUGACAGCCAUCCCCCUGGGGCCGCGCCACUCGCUUUGCAUCAGCAGCCCUUGACGGGCGGGGAGGGGGACACAAGGACCACAGGGUGCAAGUGCUCGUCCCCAUUCUCCCUUCCAAAACCCAACCCCUGUCUUUCCUACCUCCCUCCAAGGUGAGUCCCAGCAAGCCAUGGGUGACCACAAGCUGUGAAACCUUUGAUUGCCUUGAAAUCCUUCUUCUCACGUCACUAAAACCCCAGCGGGGGGGGUGCAGCACCGCUUACGAUGCUCCAGCCCCAACAGGGAUGGAGCCAGGGCAGGAGAGAUGCAGGAUGUGGCCACCCACACCCCCCGCACCCUGUGGGGCCAGGGAACUCCCUGCCAGCUCCACAGCCAGCCUGGGGCUGGGACAGCCUGAGAAGCGUCUGUGCCAGGGCCUGCAACCAAGGGAGCUCGGAGAUUUGGGUUUAAUCACAUUUAUUUGGGGGGGGAGAAAGGGAAAUUCCUCAAAUCUCUUUUAUUUUUUUUCCAAACCUUUCUAUAUCUGGUCUCAGAGGUAACAAGGAAUUAGCACAAAACCAUACCACACAAUAAUAACUGUAUUCAGCAUGCUCAGAAGCUCAUGGGAACACGAGGAACAAAAAGAAUCCAUGGCAUUACGCAUGGAAAGGCCCGUGCUGUCCCAGGCCUGCUGCGGUUCCUCUUCCCCUCUCUGCCUCAGCACUGGGGGAAAAACCUGUCCCAGGGGAUCCACCCCAGCCCAGUUUAGCCCAGCCUAACCCCAUCCCCAGCGCCGGAGCCCGGCCCUGCAGAUGUGAUCAAUAAAGCGCACGGCUAUCGGAUCGCCCCGCUUUGA